rnacentral:rRNA from 1 species
AACGAACGCUGGCGGCGUGGCUAAGACAUGCAAGUCAAACGGUCCGGCACUUAUUUGUUUACAAAUGAUUGCCGGAUAGUGGCGAAAGGGUUAGUAAUAGAUAGGUAACGUACCCUGUGCUUCGGAAUAGCGUCUCCCGCACCUAUUUUGCGAUCUCUCUUUAGAAUGUUGUGGCUGAUUUCCAUACCAGUUAUGGUCUUUUGGUCAAUGGUGGGGAGAUUUCAAAAUAGGUGCGGGAUUCCGAAAGGGUCGGUAAUACCGAAUAAUAUCGCUUGUCGAUGGUCAAGCGAGCAAAGAUUUAUCGGCACGGGAGCGGCCUAUCUCCUAUCAGCUUGUUGGUGAGGUAACGGCUCACCAAGGCAGCGACGGGUAGCGGGACUGAGAGGUUGGCCCGCAACAUCGGGACUGAGACACUGCCCGGACCUCCACGGAGGGCUGCAGUAACGAAUCUUGCGCAAUGGGCGAAAGCCUGACGCAGCGACGCCGCGUGCGGGAGGAAGUCCCUCGGGAUGUAAACCGCUGUCAGGGGUAAGAAAGUCCGCUUCGGCGGAUUGAUCUAACCCAAAGGAAGUCACGGCUAACUUCGUGCCAGCAGCCGCGGUAAGACGAAGGUGGCGAGCGUUGUUCGGUGUUACUGGGCUUAAAGCGUGUGUAGGCGGGUUGGUUAGCGUCUUGUGAAAUCCCUCGGCUUAACCGAGGAAUGGCUGGGCGAACUGCCAACCUUGAGGCAGGUAGGGGCGCAUGGAACUCUUGGUGGAGCGGUGGAAUGCGUAGAUAUCAAGAGGAACGCCGAUGGAGAAAUCAGUGCGCUGGGCCUGUCUGACGCUGAUACACGAAAGCGUGGGGAGCGAACGGGAUUAGAUACCCCGGUAGUCCACGCUGUAAACGAUGUCUACUAGGUCGUGGAGGUUCUGACACCUGCACGGCCGAAGCAAAAGUGUUAAGUAGACCGCCUGGGGAGUACGGUCGCAAGGCUAAAACUCAAAGGAAUUGACGGGGGCUCACACAAGCGGUGGAGCAUGUGGAUCAAUUCGAAGCAACGCGCAGAACCUUAUCUGGGUUUGACAUGCUUGGAUGCUUGCCGAGAAACCGGUUAAGCUGCCCUUCGGGGUGAAACUUGCACAGGUGCUGCAUGGCUGUCGUCAGCUCGUGUCGUGAGAUGUCGCCCUUACCUCCUCUAACGAGCGAAACCCUUGCCGUUAGUUGCCAGCGGGUCAUGCCGGGGACUCUAGCGGGACUGCCGGUGUUAAACCGGAGGAAGGUGGGGACGACGUCAAGUCAUCAUGGCCUUUAUGCCCAGGGCCUCACACGUGCUACAAUGGCGGCAACAAAGCGACGCAAGACCGUGAGGUGGAGCAAAUCGCAAAAAUGCUGCCCCAGUUCGGAUUGCAGGCUGGCAACUCGCCUGCAUGAAGUUGGAAUCGCUAGUAAUCGCGUAUCAGCUACGACGCGGUGAAUGUGUUCCUGAGCCUUGUACUCACCGCCCGUCAAGUGAUGGGAGUUGGGAGUACCCGAAGUCGGGUUGCUAACCCUUCGGGGAGGCGCCUGCCGACGGUAAGCCCGAUGACUGG